rnacentral:rRNA from 1 species
UCUGAUGGAGCACGCCGCGUGAGUGAUGAAGGGUUUUCGGAUCGUAAAACUCUGUUGUUAAAGAAGAACAAGUGUUAGAGUAACUGUUAACACUUUGACGGUAUUUAACCAGAAAGCCACGGCUAACUACGUGCCAGCAGCCGCGGUAAUACGUAGGUGGCAAGCGUUGUCCGGAUUUAUUGGGCGUAAAGCGAGCGCAGGCGGUUUUGUAAGUCUGCUGUGAAAGCCCUCAGCUCAACUGAGGAAGUGCAGUGGAAACUACAAAACUUGAGUACAGAAGAGGAAAGUGGAACUCCAUGUGUAGCGGUGAAAUGCGUAGAUAUAUGGAAGAACACCAGUGGCGAAGGCGGCUUUCUGGUCUGUUACUGACGCUGAGGCUCGAAAGCAUGGGUAGCGAACAGGAUUAGAUACCCUGGUAGUCCAUGCCGUAAACGAUGAAUACUAGGUGUUGGAGGGUUUCCGCCCUUCAGUGCCGCAGCUAACGCAUUAAGUAUUCCGCCUGGGGAGUACGACCGCAAGGUUGAAACUCAAAGGAAUUGACGGGGGCCCGCACAAGUGGUGGAGCAUGUGGUUUAAUUCGAUGCUACGCGAAGAACCUUACCAGCUCUUGACAUCUUCUGCCAACCCAAGAGAUUGGGCGUUCCCUUCGGGGACAGAAUGACAGGUGGUGCAUGGUUGUCGUCAGCUCGUGUCGUGAGAUGUUGGGUUAAG